AAACCUUGAUGGUAACCUGUACCCUUCCAUCCGCCUGGGAACUACGAGCGCUAGCUUAAAACCCAAAGGACUUGGCGGUGCUUUAGACCCCCCUAGAGGAGCCUGUUCUAGAACCGAUAACCCCCGUUCAACCUCACCACCCCUUGUUAAUACCGCCUAUAUACCGCCGUCGUCAGCUUACCCUGUGAAGGUUUAACAGUAAGCAAGACUAGUAAAACUCAAAACGUCAGGUCGAGGUGUAGCGAAUGGGUUGGGAAGAAAUGGGCUACAUUUUCUCUUGAGAAUAUACGAAUAGUGUGUGAAACACACACCUGAAGGAGGAUUUAGCAGUAAGUGGAAAAUAGAGCAUCCC
rnacentral:rRNA from 1 species